rfam:Peregrinibacteria bacterium GW2011_GWC2_54_8 TY87_C0046, whole genome shotgun sequence.
CCUGUUCUUUUGAUGAUCGCCCCGCACCGGACGGUGCGGGGAGGAACAUCCGGGCACCAGUGGAACGCUAUGCGGGUAACACCCGUCGCCGCAGUACAUAUCAAGCAAAACUGCGGUAGGACAAGUGCCACAGAGACGAGUCCCGCGCAAGCGGGGAGUGAAACGCCUCUGAGUACCGAGGACUGCGAGCUCUCUCUGCUCCGGGCUGACCAUUCAGCCCUGCAUCUUCGAUGCCUUCAUGGGUCCAUACCCUCCAACGUAUCGAAGCACGAGCUCAUAGUCGGUAAACUCAUAGUGGUGCAAGGAGGAUUUGGGUGGCCAGAUUCUGUGAUGGUUCCGUCGCACCGGCUACCCCUCCGCGCAGUGCCCCGUACGAGUGCUAUACACUCCGCGGGACCGAGGUCUGUGAGCAAUCCAGAUCCCAGAUAGAUGAUCAUCCCCCCGCAUCCGCGGGGGAACAGAACCCGGAGUACAAAGGGCAGGGAUA